rnacentral:tRNA from 1 species
GUGCGGUUGGUGAAAUUGGCAGACACGAAGGAUUUAGGUUCCUUUGCCCUCGGCGUGCGGGUUCGAGUCCCGCACCGCACA